AGCAUAUCAAUAAGCGGAGGAAAAGAAACUAACAAGGAUUCCCCUAGUAACUGCGAGUGAAGCGGGAAAAGCUCAAAUUUAAAAUCUGGCAGUCUUUGGCUGUCCGAGUUGUAAUCUAGAGAAGUGUUAUCCGCGCUGGACCGUGUACAAGUCUCCUGGAAUGGAGCGUCAUAGAGGGUGAGAAUCCCGUCUUUGACACGGACUGCCAGGGCUUUUGUGAUGCGCUCUCAAAGAGUCGAGUUGUUUGGGAAUGCAGCUCAAAAUGGGUGGUAAAUUCCAUCUAAAGCUAAAUAUUGGCGAGAGACCGAUAGCGAACAAGUACCGUGAGGGAAAGAUGAAAAGAACUUUGGAAAGAGAGUUAAACAGUACGUGAAAUUGCUGAAAGGGAAACGCUUGAAGUCAGUCGCGUUGUCCAGGGAUCAACCUUGCUUUUGCUUGGUGCACUUUCUGGUUGACGGGUCAGCAUCAAUUUUGACUAUUGGAAAAAGGUCAGGGGAAUGUGGCAUCUUUGGAUGUGUUAUAGCCCUUGGUUGCAUACAAUAGUUGRGAUUGAGGAACUCAGCACGCCGCAAGGCCGGGUUUUUAACCACGUCCGUGCUUAGGAUGCUGGCAUAAUGGCUUUAAUCRACCCGUCUUGAAACACGGACCAAGGAGUCUAACAUGCCUGCGAGUGUUUGGGUGGAAAACCCGAGCGCGUAAUGAAAGUGAAAGUUGAGAUCCCUGUCGUGGGGAGCAUCGACGCCCGGUCCAGACCUUUUGUGACGGUGCCGCGGUAGAGCAUGUAUGUUGGGACCCGAAAGAUGGUGAACUAUGCCUGAAUAGGGUGAAGCCAGAGGAAACUCUGGUGGAGGCUCGUAGCGAUUCUGACGUGCAAAUCGAUCGUCAAAUUUGGGUAUAGGGGCGAAAGACUAAUCGAACCAUCUAGUAGCUGGUUCCUGC
rnacentral:rRNA from 1 species